AGUUGAGAUAAUGAAGCGAUCGUCCGUCUCAGAUGUGCUCCGGUGUCUAUUGGUUUGUGGUCUCCGAACGGAGCUACCGGUCUCUUGAAACCUUCUGUAUACUCAUGAAACAGCUGAUUGGCUCAUGUUAAGUUUACGAGCGACUUGCCUUUGAUUAUGGCCCGCUUGCAACAAACCUACAACUUGGACCGCUGCAUCUGAGGUAUUGUCCAUUGGAUCGCGAUUAAAAUACUGGGAGUUUAAGGAGAUGUGUACCUGUCAACAUCUGACGAGUGACUGAUAAGAAAUAUGGGUCACGUGAGCUCUUAUACAUGAUUUAGUCUCGCAACUCAUGGGUACCGCAACGGGUAAUUUCUGUAACGCUCAUGUUUGACCGUAUUUAUUUAAAAAGUUUUUUCAUUGUUUAUUUGAAAAUGGCUAUAUUUAUGAAAAAAAAUAUAUGUCUUUGGAAUAAAAAAAACUUUUACAAAAAUCGGAUACGCCAUUUUCCGAAAAAUCGAACAUAUAUACCAAUAUAAGGCUUGAGUCGAUUCAGUUGCACGCGAGUGUAUAAAUUUUUAUAUAUUUCGGU